rnacentral:rRNA from 1 species
GACGAACGCUGGCGGCGUGCCUAAUACAUGCAAGUCGAGCGAAUGGAUUAAGAGCUUGCUCUUAUGAAGUUAGCGGCGGACGGGUGAGUAACACGUGGGUAACCUGCCCAUAAGACUGGGAUAACUCCGGGAAACCGGGGCUUAUACCGGAUAACAUUUUGAACCGCAUGGUUCGAAAUUGAAAGGCGGUUUCGGCUGUCACUUAUGGAUGGACCCGCGUCGCAUUAGGUAGUUGGCGAGGUAACGGCUCACCAAGGCAACGAUGGGUAGCCGACCUGAGAGGGUGAUCGGCCACACUGGGACUGAGACACGGCCCAGACUCCUACGGGAGGCAGCAGUAGGGAAUCUUCCGCAAUGGACGAAAGUCUGACGGAGCAACGCCGCGUGAGUGAUGAAGGCUUUCGGGUCGUAAAACUCUGUUGUUAGGGAAGAACAAGUGCUAGUUGAAUAAGCUGGCACCUUGACGGUACCUAACCAGAAAGCCACGGCUAACUACGUGCCAGCAGCCGCAGUAA